UAUUAUGUUAUUGUUUUAGCAUUCAUUUUAAAUAUAAAUAUGAAAAAUGAGCUCUUUAUUAAAAGAAUAAUUUAAUACAUUAUGUAUUGUUAAUAAUAAUAUAUAAUACAUUAUGUAUAUAAAUAAUAAAUA
rnacentral:misc_RNA from 1 species